UCCGUAGGGGGCAAGCGUUGUUCGGAAUUACUGGGCGUAAAGGGCGCGUAGGCGGCACGGCAAGUCAGGAGUGAAAGGCCUGGGCUCAACCGAGGAACUGCUUUUGAGACUGCCGAGCUAGAGUGCAGAAGGGGCAACUGGAAUUCCCAGUGUAGCGGUGAAAUGCGUAGAUAUUGGGAAGAACACCUGAGGCGAAGGCGGGUUGCUGGGCUGACACUGACGCUAAGGCGCGAAAGCCAGGGGAGCAAACGGG
rnacentral:rRNA from 1 species